rfam:Dipodomys ordii contig_75951, whole genome shotgun sequence.
CCAGAGGCUCUUUUCAGAGCCACCACUUGGUCUAAAAGGCACUGG